ACAGAGCCUUCAGCUGUCAACUCAUGCAACCUCCAGGACAAUCUACACCCACUCAGGACCUACUUUCUGGAAACGUCCCCUUUCCUUAGUCUCAGAACAAAGGACUUGCAACUAUUCUCCCUGUUUAAUACCUGGGAAAGUAAGUAUUAAUGGACCUUCAGAAGGGCAAGGCCAUUCAAUUCAUUGCUAAGAUUUUAUUAGUUUGAGUUCUGACUGCAUUGUGGGACACAUGACUGGCUUGAGGAACAAUGGGACUCCAGACUCAGAGCCCUCUUCAGAGCCUGAGAAGAAUUCAUGCUUGGGAUAAUUUCUCUCUGUCUGCUUGCCUCACAUUGUGCAGGUACAAGUGCAUGUUAAGGGAGCGGUGAAGGCCAAGUCUAGAAGCUGGCUGGGAAGACUGGCAGCCAAAGGGGGCAGGAUAUGGCUGUGAGAAGGUCUGCUUGUUGCUGGGGGAUCUGCAAGGUGAUCCAUUGCUGCUUUACAAAUUUAACUUCAGAAUCUCAACUCCAAUUACAACCUUCCAUCAGGACUGGGGAGACAGAGGCAAGAAGAGGCAAAGUGAUGGGAUGAAGAUGGGGCAACAAAUUUGGGUACAAUCUCUGCAUCUUAAUGUACUAGCACAAUGGCCCAGACUCAGUGUCUGUCUGACUAUAAACAAGUGCCUCAAAUAAACUGUCUAAAGAAAAAUGUCUCUAAUCCCAUCUUUCAUCCACUCUCCUUCCAAGACAUGCUCUGGAAGUUCUUCCUUGACUCUCUUUCUAAUGUCUAUCAGAACUAGCCAUGAGCAAAUCAGCAACUGGUUGAAUAAUGGAUUAAAAAGAGAACAGAUAAUAUAUGAACUCAUUUCUGCUGAAGAACAAACUUCCUAAAACAUGCCAACUAAUUUGCAACAAAUAGUAUUUCAUCUAGUCUCCUUGGUCCAAGGUAAGUUGUUUUGUUUUUUUGCUAAGGGGUAUCCAAGAGCCCUGGACCCAAACUUGAUUAUGCAUUUACUUCUGAGGAACUCUGCAGAGUGGUUAUUGAAGAGUUAACAUUUAAGUGCUCUUUUAUUUCCAAGAGGCAAACUAAGGAGAAAAGAGAAUUGGGUUUCUUGAGGUUUCCAUUAUCUCAGUCAAAGUGGAAACUACAGUCAGCCACCAAGAGAGAAAACAAAAAAAGCCCUACUGAAAUGUUUGACAACAGAACAGUCACUUUCUUACUGAAGAGAGAAAGGAAAGUAAACAGGCUCAGGUUUCGAUAGAGGAUACAAUGAUGUAGGAGGAAUGAACUGGUCAGUUGACCUGCACUAUGAGUCUGUGGGCAGUGAAAGAGUUGAUGUGAAGUAGGCUUCAUGUGAUUCACUUAGGCAUUUGUUCAGCAAAUAUUCAUUAAGCAUCUACUCUAUGCUAAGUGCUAAACACCAAUAAUAGCUAUGAUUUGCACUUUCUAGUUCCAGGCUCCAUGUUAAGUGCUUUAUAGUUGUUAUCUCACCUUAAUUCUCUGCAAAACUCUAUGUGGUAGGUAUUAUUCCCCCAUACUUAGGAGAAAACUAAGGUCUAUGGUGGAACUAAGUAUUCAAACCCAGAUCUGUCCAACUCUAAUAUCCAUAUUUUUAAGCUGCUUUCUGGUAGAGAUGUAAGCAGAAGUUUAGGCAGUUCAUCAGAAUGGGUUUGCUGAAAACAAACAGUUGUCUCUAUGUGAGAAUGGCUCUGAUCCUAGUAUUAGUGUUACCUUCAGACCAUGUAAAACUGAUACAUACAACUCAAAUAUCAAAAUAAUCUUCUCAGGGCCAGUAUAUGACAAAAGGAACCAUCAUUUUGAUGGUUCUGAUACCAUGUGUUGAGUUAUCAUGCCUAGUUUAGAGUAACUAACUAAUAUAAUGGUUACUCUGACUGAUACUGUGAGUGGGAAUAGAGGUGGUUAGAGUUCAAGUGUACAUCUAGCCACACAGCCCUCAAGCACAGGAAAGAUAAGCUGCUUUAAGUCAACUUUCAUAAUAUCCAAGAUGACACUGGAUAUAAAUUAUUGUUAGGGAAAGCAAAAAAUGAAUUGCGUUAUAGCACCUCCUCUUCCUUCUUUGCAGAAGUGAAAUAUUUACUUUCUCCAUGUUGGUUCCAUUGCAACCACAAGACCAUGGCCAACUGGAACAGUUACUGAAUUCUUCCGGGUAGAUGCAUGUUUUCAGACUUGGUGACCACAGGCAGAUACAGCACUAAGGAACAAGUUAUGUAUCAGCAUAUGAUUACCAAGGGGCAGACCAUUCUCAUCAGUGACACUUUUCAUCUCUAAAGAAGUAUAGCCAGAACCAGCUAGGUUUAUAAAAAGAAUAUACACUUCUUAAUUUUUCCUUUCUUAAUAGGGCCUCACCAUUGGAUCAGUAGAAGGGCACCUAAAAAAAUAUGUACUUUGCAAGAUCAGCUAGUAAUUCAGUUUAGUCUCUAUAAACUUGCGCUCAAAGUGUAUUUUUGUCUAUUGAUGUAGUUCUUAUAUUUUAUUCUAUUCCUGACUUAGGAAAAAGGCUAAGGCAAACUUUAUUCCUCAGGGCUGUUCCUAUUUUAAACAUCAACAUAAAGCAAAAUAUAUAAAAACCAUAAUGAAGUAAUUUUGGCAGACCUCAUAGGAAAAGAUAUGUGAAUAAUCUUUCAGUAGUCACUAUUUACCUCAUUCCCUAAAUCUGACUGUCCAAAAUUAUCCUUUCAUAAGAAGGUAGUGAGACCUGCUAAAAGUAUGUCUCAUUAACUCAAGUAUAAUGUGAUCCAUAGAGAUACUAGUGAUUAAGAAGUGUUAUACAAAUGCCUGAUUUUAUAAUGUA